ensembl:lncRNA
AUUGGAUUGUUCACAUUUUUUGACCAGAGCCACUCUAAUUUUCCAAAGAUCUGUUACUUUUUACAAAUUCAGAUUUGUCAAUGCAGGCAGUAUUAUGUGAAAGAAGUGGAGUGGCAUCAGAUAACCUUGAUGACAAUUAUAUAGCUAAUAUAUUGUAUAGAUUUGGGAUCUGUGUGCUUCAAUAUUUCAGUAAAAUUAGAAAACUAUUCUAUUUUCUUUCAGGUGUGACAGGAAAUUGAAAUUAUAACAUCUUGAUAUCAGAGAACGAGGAUGACAGUAACAUUUCCUAAAAGACUUGAGGGUCGAUGACUUCACCACCUCUCUGGGCAGCCCAUUCCAGUGCCUGACCACCCUUUCAGAGAAGUAGGAUUUCCUAACGUCCAGCCUGAAUCUUCCCUGGCGCAGCUUGAAGCCAUUCCCUCUAGUCCUAUCACUAGUCACAAGAGAGAAGAGGCUGACCCCCAGCUCACAACAACCUCCCUUCAGGUAGUUAUAGAGAGCAAUAAGGUCUCCCCUGAGCCUCC